rnacentral:rRNA from 1 species
AGAGUUUGAUCAUGGCUCAGGACGAACGCUGGCGGCGUGCUUAAUACAUGCAAGUCGAGCGGUUCUUCUUCGGAAGAGCAGCGGCGGACGGGUGAGGAACACGUGAGUAACCGGGCAUCCAGUGGGGGAUAUCGGGCCGAAAGGCGCGGCAAUCCCGCAUACGUCCCGGUCCCGCAAGGGGCCGGGGGAAAGGCCUUCGGGUCGCUGGAUGGGGGGCUCGCGGCCCAUUAGCUAGUUGGGGGGGUAACGGCCUCCCAAGGCGACGAUGGGUAGCCGGCCUGAGAGGGUGAUCGGCCACACUGGGACUGAGACACGGCCCAGACUCCUACGGGAGGCAGCAGUAGGGAAUCUUCCACAAUGGGCGCAAGCCUGAUGGAGCAACGCCGCGUGAGUGAAGACGGCCUUCGGGUUGUAAAGCUCUGUCUGUCGGGACGAGGGCCCGGGUGCAAACCCGGGCGGGACGGUACCGGCGGAGGAAGCCCCUGCAAACUACGUGCCAGCAGCCGCGGUAAGACGUAGGGGGCAAGCGUUGUCCGGAAUUACUGGGCGUAAAGGGCGUGUAGGCGGUUUCACACGUAGCGGUUUUCAGCCGCCGGCUCACCCGGCGGAGGGCGGCUAAACGGUGGAACUGGAGGGCAGGAGAGGUGCACGGAAUUCCUGGUGGAGCGGUGAAAUGCGUAGAGAUCAGGAAGAACACCGGUGGCGAAGGCGGUGCACUGGCCUGGCCCUGACGCUGAGGCGCGACAGCGUGGGGAGCAAACGGGAUUAGAUACCCCGGUAGUCCACGCCGUAAACGAUGGAUACUAGGUGUCGCGGGGGUCCACCCGGCGGUGCCGGAGCUAACGCACUAAGUAUCCCGCCUGGGGAGUACGGCCGCAAGGUUGAAACUCAAAGGAAUUGACGGGGGCCCGCACAAGCAGUGGAGCAUGUGGUUUAAUU